CCAAUAGCGUAUAUUAAGGUUGCUGCGGUUAAAAAGCUCGUAGUUGAAUUUCGGGAUUGAUGCAUCGGUCGUGCCUUAAGGGGUAUGAACUGGUGUAGCUAAUUUCUUACCUUCUGGUGAAUUGUGAUGUCCUCCUUAACUGGGUGUUUCAAUGAACUAGGACUUUUUACUUUGAAAAAAUUAGAGUGUUUAAAGCAGGC
rnacentral:rRNA from 1 species